ensembl:lncRNA
GUGAGAGCAUUACCUGUGUGCGGUAAGGUGAGGGCGUUACCUGUGUGAGAUAAGUUGAGGUAAGGUGAGGGGGUUACCUGUGUGAGGUAAGGUGGGGAAAGGUGAGGGGGUUACCUGUGUGAGGUAAGGUGAGGUAAGGUGGGGGUUACCUGUGUGAGGUAAGGUUAGGUAAGGUGAGGGGGUUACCUGUGUGAGGUAAGGUGGGGUAAGGUGAGAGCAUUAUCUGUGUGAGGUAAGGUUAGGUAAGGUGAGGGUGUUACCUGUGUGAGGUAAGGUGGGGUAAGGUGAGGGUGUUGCCUGUGUGAGGUAAGGUGAGGGUGUUACCUGUGUGAGGUAAGGUGAGGGGUUUACCUGUGUGAGGUAAGGUGGGGAAAGGUGAGGGGGUUACCUGUGUGAGGUAAGGUGGGGUAAGGUGAGGGUGUUACCUGUGUGAGGUAAGGUGAGGGGGUUAUCUGUGUGAGGUAAGGUGGGGGUUACCUGUGUGAGGUAAGGUGGGGUAAGGUGAGAGCAUUACCUGUGUGAGGUAAGGUUAGGUAAGG